CUCCAAUGCUACAAUUUUAUAACUUAAAAAAUAUUUUACUUUCCCAGUCACGGAAAAUCAUCUUGUUAUUGACAAAGCUACCAUCAUUCAAUUGGUAUCAGAUUCUGACAUGGACAAGUAACAUUC